rnacentral:lncRNA from 1 species
CGCCUGCAUGCUGACUUAAGGUCAUCAGUUGAAAGGUGUUUCCUCCAACACAUUGCUGCAGCUGGCUUCCGGGUUAAGCGAGCGGAUGUUAUGAAGCGCGGUUUGGAGAAGGAGGCCUGACUCGACCUUGGCCCCUCCCGAGGCCGUUGGGGAGUUCGCAGCGAUGAGACAAGAUCGUAAUAUCCCGAAAUUGGGGAGAAAAAGGGGGUAACAUUACAAAAAAAAAAAAAAAAAAGAUUUAAUAACACAAGAGGUACACAAGAAUGGAGCUACAUACAGGGAGUACCAGUACCAGAUCAAUGUGGAGCUAUAUACAGGGAGUACCAGUACCAGAUCAAUGUGGAGCUAUAUACAGGGAGUACCAGUACCAGAUCAAUGUGGAGCUAUAUACAGGGAGUACCAGUACCAGAUCAAUGUGGAGCUAUAUACAGGGAGUACCAGAUCAAUGUGGAGCUAUAUACAGGGAGUACCAGUACCAGAUCAAUGUGGAGCUAUAUACAGGGAGUACCAGUACCAGAUCAAUGUGGAGCUAUAUACAGGAAGUACCAGUACCAGAUCAAUGUGGAGCUAUAUACAGGGAGUACCAGUACCAGAUCAAUGUGGAGCUAUAUACAGGGAGUACCAGAUCAAUGUGGAGCUAUAUACAGGGAGUACCAGUACCAGAUCAAUGUAGAGCUAUAUACAGGGAGUACCAGUACCAGAUCAAUGUGGAGCUAUAUACAGGAAGUACCAGUACCAGAUCAAUGUGGAGCUAUAGACAGGGAGUACCAGGGUUACGAGAUAUAUGAGGUAGAUAUGUACAUGAAGGCAGGGUAAAGAUAAUAGACAUCAGGAUAGAUAAUAAUAAGAGUAAAAUAAAGAACAGAGUAGCAGCAGCAAAUUAAGAGUGUAAAAGUGUGUGUGUAUGUGUGAGUGUAUAUAUAGUGUGUAUAUACAGUAUAGUCUUGUGAGUGUGCAUAGAGUCAGUGCAAGAUAGUCUGGGUAACCAUCAACUAUUGAGCAGUCUUAUGGCUUGGGGGUAGAAGCUGUCUCGGAGCCUGUUGGUCUGAGAGCCAAUGCUCUGGUACCGUUUGCCGGACGGUAGCAGAGUGAACAGUCUAUGGUUUGGGUGGCUGGAGUCUGGCAAUUUUUGGGGCCUUCCUCUGACACCACCUGGUAUAGAAGACCUGGAUGGCAGGGAGCUCGGCACCCGUGAUGUACUGGGCUGUCCACAUUACCCUCUGUAGCGCUUUUUGGCCGGGUGUAGUGGAUUUGCCAUACCAGGUGAUGCUGCAGCCAGUCAAGAUGCGUUCUAUGGUGCAGCUGUAGAAUUUUUUGAGGGCCCUUGCCAAAUAAUUUCAGCCUCCUGAAGGGCAAGAGGUGCUGUCGUUACCCUCUUCACGACUCUGUGGGUUUGUGUGGACCAUGUUAAUUCCUUAGUGAUGUGGAAAAUGAGGAACUUGAAGCUCUCGACCCCCUCCACUACAGCCCCGUCGAUGUGAAUGGGGGCGUGCUCGCCCCUCUUUCUCCUGUAGUCCAUGUUCAGCUGCUUGACAAAGAUAAGUUUUUAUUAUUUCACAGACAACCUUUAGACUGAAUAUUGAUUAAUUGUCCCCAUGGGGCAUAAAAUGUGGUUUAACCCAUUUAUGUUGCGUAACAUACUGUCUUGUCAACAAUUCAAUCAUGUUUUUCACCAAAGUAAGUAUUUUGAAUAAAAACUACAUGUACCCUAUUCUUAG